rnacentral:lncRNA from 1 species
CACAAAGCUACAGCUUGGAUCCUUAGCAUCCCCCAAGAGCUCCAAGGGCUUGGUCCCCCAGGGUGGUGUUUUUAAGCUUGAGGAAACUUGGGGGGGGGCUUGUAGGACCUCUGCCUCUUCCUCUUCCCCCUUGCUCCCUAGCUGUUGAUGUAAGUAGGCCUUUGCUUCCUGAUCUACAUCAUUUCUUGCCGUAGGUCCAAAGCAAUAGAGCCAACUGACUAUGGGCUGCACCGAAAGCCCAAACAGCUCUUUCCUCUUUGUAAGACGAUUGUCUCAGCAGACCAACACGCUCGACAAGAAGACUGCGGAGUGCAGGGAAGGAUGAAGGGACCUUCCUCCUGCUGCUGAUGGGGGAAAGACGUCUUCACUGAGGAGGUGGUCUGGGACUGGAGAGCUCCUGCAGGCCGCAGAGAAUCAAGACCAAGAGCUCAGGGGAUGCUGCAGAGAUGAAACCCUGAGCCAUCAAUCAAGGUGUCAACCCAGAUGGCCUGUGACGGAGGGACCAGGCACAGGUGCGGGAAUGGACUGCAGGGUUGAGAGGAGUCCCUGGCUGGGUGUCCUGGCGACCUAGGGGACUACAGCGAGAGAGCUGGAAGAGUGAGGGUUCACUGUCCACGGGCUGGUGAGAUCUGAAGUCAGUACACCGGGGUCUGGGGCUGUGAGCUGGACACUUACAAAAGUGCUCAGUGCUGGCUCAGUGGGCUGGGGAGUCC